GGGGAUGUAGCUCAGUGGCAGAGCACUUGCCUAGCAUGCCUGAGGCCCUGAGUUCAAUCCCCAGUACCCUA
rnacentral:tRNA from 1 species